rnacentral:rRNA from 1 species
UACGGAGGUGGCAAGCGUUGUUCGGAAUUACUGGGCGUAAAGGGCGCGUAGGCGGCUUAACAAGUCAGAUGUGAAAGCCCCGGGCUCAACCCGGGAACUGCAUCUGAAACUGUAUAGCUUGAGUUCUGGAGGGGGUAGUGGAAUUCCCAGUGUAGCGGUGAAAUGCGUAGAUAUUGGGAGGAACACCUGCGGCGAAGGCGGCUACCUGGACAGUGACUGACGCUGAGGCGCGAAAGCUAGGGGAGCGAACGGG